AGUAAUGCCUAGGAAUCUGCCUGGUAGUGGGGGACAACGUUUCGAAAGGAACGCUAAUACCGCAUACGUCCUACGGGAGAAAGCAGGGGACCUUCGGGCCUUGCGCUAUCAGAUGAGCCUAGGUCGGAUUAGCUAGUUGGUGAGGUAAUGGCUCACCAAGGCGACGAUCCGUAACUGGUCUGAGAGGAUGAUCAGUCACACUGGAACUGAGACACGGUCCAGACUCCUACGGGAGGCAGCAGAC
rnacentral:rRNA from 1 species